GACGAACGCUGGCGGCGUGCCUAAUACAUGCAAGUCGAGCGAAGCGGCGGAUGGGUGAGUAACGCGUGGGUAACCUGCCCUUAAGUCUGGGAUACCAUUUGGAAACAGAUGCUAAUACCGGAUACUAAAGGAUGGACCUGCGAUGCAUUAGCUAGUGGGUACGGUAACGGCUUACCAAGGCGAUGAUGCAUAGCUGAGUUGAGAGAAUGAUCGGCCACACUGGGACUGAGACACGGCCCAGACUCCUACGGGAGGCAGCAGUGGGGAAUAUUGCACAAUGGGCGCAAGCCUGAUGCAGCCAUGCCGCGUGUAUGAAGAAGGCCUUCGGGUUGUAAAGUACUUUCAGCGAGGAGGCGUUACUCGCAGAAGAAGCACCGGCUAACUCCGUGCCAGCCGCCGCGGUAAUAC
rnacentral:rRNA from 1 species